UGGAUAUGACGCCAUGCUAAAAUUAUAAUGAUACAGAGAAGAUUAGCAUGUCUCCUGCACAAAGAUGACACACAGAUUCAUUAAGCAUUCCAUAUUUUU
rnacentral:snRNA from 1 species